GGCCUCAGAUCAGGGAGGAUCACCCGCCGAAUUUAAGCAUAUCAUA
rnacentral:rRNA from 1 species